rnacentral:rRNA from 1 species
GACGAACGUUUGCGGCGUGCUUAACACAUGCAAGUCGAACGGAAAGGCCCUGCUUUUGUGGGGUGCUCGAGUGGCGAACGGGUGAGUAACACGUGAGUAACCUGCCCUUGACUUUGGGAUAACUUCAGGAAACUGGGGCUAAUACCGGAUAGGAGCUCCUGCUGCAUGGUGGGGGUUGGAAAGUUUCGGCGGUUGGGGAUGGACUCGCGGCUUAUCAGCUUGUUGGUGGGGUAGUGGCUUACCAAGGCUUUGACGGGUAGCCGGCCUGAGAGGGUGACCGGCCACAUUGGGACUGAGAUACGGCCCAGACUCCUACGGGAGGCAGCAGUGGGGAAUAUUGCACAAUGGGCGGAAGCCUGAUGCAGCAACGCCGCGUGCGGGAUGACGGCCUUCGGGUUGUAAACCGCUUUCGCCUGUGACGAAGCGUGAGUGACGGUAAUGGGUAAAGAAGCACCGGCUAACUACGUGCCAGCAGCCGCGGUGAUACGUAGGGUGCGAGCGUUGUCCGGAUUUAUUGGGCGUAAAGGGCUCGUAGGUGGUUGAUCGCGUCGGAAGUGUAGUCUUGGGGCUUAACCCUGAGCGUGCUUUCGAUACGGGUUGACUUGAGGAAGGUAGGGGAGAAUGGAAUUCCUGGUGGAGCGGUGGAAUGCGCAGAUAUCAGGAGGAACACCAGUGGCGAAGGCGGUUCUCUGGGCCUUUCCUGACGCUGAGGAGCGAAAGCGUGGGGAGCGAACAGGCUUAGAUACCCUGGUAGUCCACGCUGUAAACGGUGGGUACUAGGUGUGGGGUCCAUUCCACGGGUUCCGUGCCGUAGCUAACGCUUUAAGUACCCCGCCUGGGGAGUACGGCCGCAAGGCUAAAACUCAAAGGAAUUGACGGGGCCCCGCACAAGCGGCGGAGCAUGCGGAUUAAUUCGAUGCAACGCGUAGAACCUUACCUGGGUUUGACAUGGAUCGGGAGUGCUCAGAGAUGGGUGUGCCUCUUUUGGGGUCGGUUCACAGGUGGUGCAUGGCUGUCGUCAGCUCGUGUCGUGAGAUGUUGGGUUAAGUCCCGCAACGAGCGCAACCCUUGUUCACUGUUGCCAGCACGUUAUGGUGGGGACUCAGUGGAGACCGCCGGGGUCAACUCGGAGGAAGGUGGGGAUGACGUCAAGUCAUCAUGCCCCUUAUGUCCAGGGCUUCACGCAUGCUACAAUGGCUGGUACAGAGAGUGGCGAGCCUGUGAGGGUGAGCGAAUCUCGGAAAGCCGGUCUCAGUUCGGAUUGGGGUCUGCAACUCGACCUCAUGAAGUCGGAGUCGCUAGUAAUCGCAGAUCAGCAACGCUGCGGUGAAUACGUUCCCGGG